rnacentral:lncRNA from 1 species
CCCCCCGCCCGGACCCCCCAAGUGACCUCGCUGUGGAUCCUCGGAGCCGUUGCCGCCUCCAGAAGCGAAAGGAAAAGCGCGGCCAGAACCGAAAGGAAAAGCGCCGCAACCGCCCCCAGUACGGCCGUGACCCCGAACUGGGCAGACUGGGGGGGCGGGGGACACCGAGGGGACACCGAGGGGACACAGAGCCGGGGGGGCAGCGGCUCCCGAAGCCCCCCCAGUGCUGUCCCCGCUGCUGUCCCGGGGUCACCUGGGCCGGGCGAAGGGAGGGAAACCCUGGGGGGACGCGGGAGGAGAGGGAGGGUCGUGCCAGGGACCGUGCCAGGGACCGUGCCAGGUGUCCUGCCAGGUGUCACAGGUGCCAGGUGUCCUGACAGGUGUCCUGCCAGGUGUCCUGACAGGUGUCACAGGUGCCAGGUGUCACAGGUGCCAGGUGUCCUGACAGGUGUCCUGCCAGGUGUCCUGACAGGUGUCCUGCCAGGUGUCACAGGUGCCAGGUGUCCUGCCAGGUGCCAGCCCAGGUGCCAGCCCAGGUGCUGUGACACUCGCCCGCCCCCAGGCCCCCCCCGCCAGUGGAGAGGGGAGGAGAACCCCGAGUGGACGUUGGGGUUGAGGCAGGAAGGGAUCAGGGACGGAACCCAAAUAAACGCCGGGGUAAUGACGGUCACUGUCACCGUCAUCGUCACCAUCGUCAUCGUCACCAUCGUUAUCAAUGUCAUCAUCGUCACCAUCGUCACCAUCGUUAUCAAUGUCAUCAUCGUCACCAUCGUCACCAUCGUCAUCAUCGUCACUGUCAUCAUCACCAUCGUCACCGCAAAUAAACAUCAAAGAUCAACCCCAAAACAGCCAAGAAGGGGCGGUCGGACCCCAAACUGCCACCCCUGGGUUCUCCAUCGCUCCGGCUGCUCCGUGUCCCAUCCCAGUGUCCAUCCCAAUGUCCCACCAUCCCAAUGUCCAUCCCUGUCCCAUCCCAAUGUCCAUCUGGGUCCCACCAUCCCAAUGUCCAUCCCAAUGUCCCACCAUCCCAAUGUCCAUCCGUGUCCCAUCCCAAUGUCCAUCCAUGUCCCACCAUCCCAAUGACCAUCCCUGUCCCAUCCCAAUGUCCCUCCCAAUGUCCCACCAUCCCAAUGUCCGUCCCGGUCCCAUCCCAAUGUCCCACCAUCCCAAUGUCCAUCCCAAUGUCCCACCAUCCCAAUGUCCACCCCAAU